rnacentral:rRNA from 1 species
CGUAGGUGGCAAGCGUUGUCCGGAUUUAUUGGGUUUAAAGGGUGCGUAGGCGGCCCUGUAAGUCAGUGGUGAAAUAUCCCAGCUUAACUGAGAGGGUGCCAUUGAUACUGCGGGGCUUGAGUACAGAUGAGGUAGGCGGAAUUGACGGUGUAGCGGUGAAAUGCAUAGAUAUCGUCAAGAACACCGAUAGCGAAGGCAGCUUACCAAGCUGUAACUGACGCUGAGGCACGAAAGUGUGGGGAUCAAACAGGAUUAGAUACCCUGGUAGUCCACACUGUAAACGUUGAUGACUCGAUGUUGGCGAUACACAGCCAGCGUCCAAGAGCAAUCGUUAAGUCAUCCACCUGGGGAGUACGCCGGCAACGGUG